GAUGAACGCUGGCGGCGUGCCUAAUACAUGCAAGUCGAGCGAACGGACGAGAAGCUUGCUUCUCUGAUGUUAGCGGCGGACGGGUGAGUAACACGUGGAUAACCUACCUAUAAGACUGGGAUAACUUCGGGAAACCGGAGCUAAUACCGGAUAAUAUUUUGAACCGCAUGGUUCAAAAGUGAAAGACGGUCUUGCUGUCACUUAUAGAUGGAUCCGCGCUGCAUUAGCUAGUUGGUAAGGUGACGGCUUACCAAGGCAACGAUGCAUAGCCGACCUGAGAGGGUGAUCGGCCACACUGGAACUGAGACACGGUCCAGACUCCUACGGGAGGCAGCAGUAGGGAAUCUUCCGCAAUGGGCGAAAGCCUGACGGAGCAACGCCGCGUGAGUGAUGAAGGUCUUCGGACCGUAAAACUCUGUUAUUAGGGAAGAACAUAUGUGUAAGUAACUGUGCACAUCUUGACGGUACCUAAUCAGAAAGCCACGGCUAACUACGUG
rnacentral:rRNA from 1 species